rnacentral:rRNA from 1 species
GACAGAGGUCCCAAGCGUUGUUCGGAUUCAUUGGGCGUAAAGGGUGUGUAGGUGGCGCGCUAAGUCGGGUGUGAAAUUUCGGAGCUUAACUCCGAAACUGCAUUCGAUACUGGCGUGCUUGAGGACUGGAGAGGAGACUGGAAUUCAUGGUGUAGCAGUGAAAUGCGUAGAGAUCAUGAGGAAGACCAGUGGCGAAGGCGGGUCUCUGGACAGUUCCUGACACUGAGACACGAAGGCCAGGGGAGCAAACGGG